AGGCAGCAGGCGCGCAAAUUACCCAAUCCCGAUCCGGGGAGGUAGUGACAAUAAAUACUGAUACGGGGCUCUUUUGGGUCUCGUAAUUGGAAUGAGAACAAUUUAAAUCCCUUAACGAGGAACAAUUGGAGGGCAAGUCUGGUGCCAGCAGCCGCGGUAAUUCCAGCUCCAAUAGCGUAUAUUAAAGUUGUUGCAGUUAAAAAGCUCGUAGUUGAACCUUGGGUCUGGCUGGCCGGUCCGCCUCACCGCGAGUACUGGUCCGGCUGGACCUUUCCUUCUGGGGAACCCCAUGGCCUUCACUGGCUGUGGGGGGAACCAGGACUUUUACUGUGAAAAAAUUAGAGUGUUCAAAGCAGGCCUUUGCUCGAAUACAUUAGCAUGGAAUAAUAGAAUAGGACGUGCGGUUCUAUUUUGUUGGUUUCUAGGACCGCCGUAAUGAUUAAUAGGGAUAGUCGGGGGCGUCAGUAUUCAGCUGUCAGAGGUGAAAUUCUUGGAUUUGCUGAAGACUAACUACUGCGAAAGCAUUCGCCAAGGAUGUUUUCAUUAAUCAGGGAACGAAAGUUAGGGGAUCGAAGACGAUCAGAUACCGUCGUAGUCUUAACCAUAAACUAUGCCGACUAGGGAUCGGACGGGCUUCUAUGAUGACCCGUUCGGCACCUUACGAGAAAUCAAAGUUUUUGGGUUC
rnacentral:rRNA from 1 species